GAGGCCCGCCGGGUACCUGCAGAGCCAUCGCCAUAGGCAUAGCUUGUGUUGUCGCCGCCGGGCGGCUUGGUCAAACGGGUGUAUUCUGUCUGGUGUCACAUGUGAAUUUAGCGCGAGAUACGUGUUGUGAUUUUACGUGCGAUCCGUCGUACGACGCGUUGGAGUUUGACUUGCUGCAUACGACGAUUCGGGACACAUGACUGCGCAAGGCAUGUACAGUUUUCAAGCAUUAACUGUGCCAAUACAGCUCACGGGGUAGCGAGGCAGCAUAUGGUGGGUCCACAGGAGGACAGUAUAGCUUUGCUGACCUCACCCUAUUGUCCACCGACGGUAAGCCCCACCGCAUAUGCAUGGUUUGGAACUGUAAAAAUUCCACAGGAACUGUAGUGGAGCGGCCAGCCAUCUCCUCCUCCAACUCGCCAAUGCUCCCAGUGCUCCGCCGAAGUCCAUGGAGCAUCGAGGCCUUCCAGCUGUCAAGCUGCCACUACGGAAAGUGCCAAGUCACAUCAGGGACGCCGCCACCUCUGUAACUUCUGUGACUAUAAGACUGAUAAUGUAUGUCAUCUGAAAAGACACACCAUGUGCCAUAC